rnacentral:sRNA from 1 species
GGGGACAUACAGUGCAACUCCCUAAACAUUGUGCACGUUACCUAUACCGUUGCUUCGGCGGGCGGCCCCGGGGUUUACCCCCCGGGCGCCCCUGGGCCCCACCGCGGGCGCCCGCCGGAGGUCACCAAACUCUUGAUAAUUUAUGGCCUCUCUGAGUCUUCUGUACUGAAUAAGUCAAAACUUUCAACAACGGAUCUCUUGGUUCUGGCAUCGAUGAAGAACGCAGCGAAAUGCGAUAAGUAAUGUGAAUUGCAGAAUUCAGUGAAUCAUCGAAUCUUUGAACGCACAUUGCGCCCGCCAGCAUUCUGGCGGGCAUGCCUGUUCGAGCGUCAUUUCAACCAUCAAGCCCCCGGGCUUGUGUUGGGGACCUGCGGCUGCCGCAGGCCCUGAAAAGCAGUGGCGGGCUCGCUGUCGCACCGAGCGUAGUAGCAUACAUCUCGCUCUGGUCGCGCCGCGGGUUCCGGCCGUUAAACCACCUUUUUAACCCAAGGUUGACCUCGGAUCAGGUAGGAAGACCCGCUGAACUUAAGCAUAUCAAUAAGCCGGAGGAACUCCG